GGGGGAGUAUGAUCGCAAGAUUGAAACUUAAAGGAAUUGACGGAAGGGCACCACCAGGAGUGGAGCCUGCGGCUUAAUUUGACUCAACACGGGGAAACUCACCAGGUCCAGACAUGGGAAGGAUUGACAGAUUGACAGCUCUUUCUUGAUUCCAAGGGAGGUGGUGCAUGGCCGUCCAGCUUUUGUUGUGAAAUCUCUGUUUGAUUACGGUAAACGGCGAGACCUUGACUUGCUGAUUGGUGUGCGCCUGCUGUUUUGUAGGCGUUGGAGAUUACGCGCAAGCGUGUCUUUUGACACACCACUCAGAGGGACACUCGGCGUUGCUAUUGAGCGUAAGCCGAAGGAAGUUUGAGGCGAUAACAGGUCUGUGAUGCCCUUAGAUGUUCUGGGCUGCACGCGCGCUACACUGACGGGGGCAGCGAGUAUGCUUUGGGUGUUUGUGGUGGGGAAAGUCUUGUGCUUUCUGCAUUCACAAACAUCUAUUCCUGCGCUGGAAGGCGUGGGGACUCUUGUGAAAACCCGUCGUGCUGGGGAUAGAUGCUUGCAAUUAUUCAUCUUGAACGAGGAAUUCCUAGUAAGCGCAAUUCAACAGAUUGCGUUGAUUACGUCCCUGCCCUUUGUACACACCGCCCGUCGCUACUACCGAUUGAAUGGUUUAGUGAGGCCUCGGGAUUGGCGCGUGGGCGCUGGCAACAGCUGCCCAUGUGUUUCUUUGCUGAGAACCUGGUCAAACUUGAUCAUUUAGAGGAAGUAAAAGUCGUAACAAGGUUUCCGUAGGUGAACCUGCGGAAG
rnacentral:ncRNA from 1 species